rnacentral:rRNA from 1 species
CGACCAGUCCACACUGGGACUGAGACWCGGCCCAGACUCCUACUGGARGCAGCAGUGGGGAAUUUUGGACUAUGGGCGCRAGCCUGAUCCAGCAAUGCCGAGUGCAGGAUGAACGCCUUCGCGUUGUAAUAAUCUUGGAUCAGAAURUCUCGGUGAAUACGUUCCCGGGUCYUGUACACACCGCCCGUCACACCCAUGGGAGCGGGUUCURCCAGAAGUAGUUAGCCUAACCGCAAGGAGGGCGACUUAUCCACGGCCAGGGUUAG